UCAUUUAAUGAUAAUCUUUUUCUUAAUUGGUGUGAACUGCAAACAACACAGACAUAAAAAGACCAAGAGUUGGUAGCUGAGUUUUCUUAAUGAAUCGUAAAUAAUAAUCUAUACGUGUAAUAAAAUGCCGUGUGGUUCCCGGCACUAUUACAAAAAAGAAUAGGACCACUCCAUCUCUUUCCCAUGGAUGUCGUAAAAGGCGACUAAGGGAUAGGCUUAUAAACUUAGGAUUCCUCUUUUAGGCGAUGGGCUAGCAACCUGUCACUAUUUGAAUCUCGGUUCUAUCAUUAAGCCAAAUAGCUGAACGUGGCCAUUCAGUCUUUUCAAGACUGUUGGCUCUGUCUACCCCGCAAGGGAUAUAGACGUGAUCAUAUGUAUGUAUGUAUGUAUGUAUGUGUAAUAAAAUAGAGUAUUUUGUGAAUGGGUGUUAGUUUGUCCGUUUUUCACGUUAAAACAUUGAAAAAAUUAUAAUUAUGCGAAAUUUAAUGGUGAUCGGCAGCAUGAAAUUUCGCAUACAUAAAUUUUUUUUAUUCGAAAUAAUAAUAAUAGGGUAAGGAGGGGGAAUGACGCUCAGUGGGUAAUGGCGUUCACCUAGGUAAAUCUAUCAAAACGCAGCAUAGCAACACGCCACGACGCAUGAAGGCGCGGGGGAAGGGGGCCUCUAACAGGCGGCGACACGAACCGACAGUCAGCCCGCAUCACCUGAUCGUGAAGUGCAUUUCUUUGUUUGAGGCCGCGCCGAUGUAAUUUUACGUUUGGUGUUUUCUGUCGAUAUGCCAAGAAAACGCAGUUAAUCGUAACCAAAAACCCGUUGAUGAGCCAAGAUCUCCGGUAUCAUUUGCUGCUCUAGCAAUCACACCUACUCCAGGACCAUCUUUUAAGCGAGGUCAAAGAAAGCGAAAACAACAUGCUACCAUUUUAACAGCAACCCCUAUGAAAAUUAUUUUAGAAGACAAAGAAAAGAAAAAAGUAGAGAAACUUAAGAAAACGAGGCAUAAAGUUGCCAAAGGGAAGAAACCAAAGAAACAAAAAACGCACAAGAGAAAAAUUUUAAUGUCCAGUUCUUCAAAUAGUGAUGAUGGAGACCAAAUAUGCGACGAUGACAGCGAUGAUGACAUGAAUGUGGAUAAUGAAAAUUACAAUAAAUGCAUCAUCUGCGAAGAAUUCGGCAAAAACAAGGAAUUGUGGUACCGUUGCACCCUCUGCGGGCUGUGGGCCCACGCCAUAUGUUCGGGAUGGGAUGCACCAGAUGGUUUUACCUGUGAUUUAUGUGUUCGAAAAUAACGAAUUAAUACGAAUUUGUGUUUCUAGAACUCACUUUUAUUUUAUAAUGUUGAUAUCAUUCCUGUUUUUUUAACUAACACAUAUAUAAUCGGUUAUAUUUCUUAAAAACAUGUUUGAGCGUCGUUACCCCGUACCCCGAGCGGUAUUACCCAGAGUAAGGGGGCAAUGCCGCUCAAGCAUGCUUUUUUUAAAAUGUUUUUUUACUAUUAGUAAAUAAAAGGUAUACGCUGUUAUUGUUAACUAGUUGAUUACUAGAGAGUUAAAGACUAUGUUUCUUUUUUAAAUUUUGAAUUAAAAUGUCUAAUCAAAAAAAUA